rnacentral:rRNA from 1 species
GUUUCCGUAGGUGAACCUGCGAAUGGAUCAUUA